rnacentral:tRNA from 1 species
CAAAAUGUAGCUUAUUUAAAGCAUUUCACUUACACUGAGAAAAUCCCUGAUAAACCCAGGUCAUUUUGA